rnacentral:rRNA from 1 species
UAGGGAAUCUUCCACAAUGGACGCAAGUCUGAUGGAGCAACGCCGCGUGAGUGAAGAAGGUCUUCGGAUCGUAAAGCUCUGUUGUUGGUGAAGAAGGAUAGAGGCAGUAACUGGUCUUUAUUUGACGGUAAUCAACCAGAAAGUCACGGCUAACUACGUGCCAGCAGCCGCGGUAAUACGUAGGUGGCAAGCGUUGUCCGGAUUUAUUGGGCGUAAAGCGAGCGCAGGCGGAAUGAUAAGUCUGAUGUGAAAGCCCACGGCUCAACCGUGGAACUGCAUCGGAAACUGUCAUUCUUGAGUGCAGAAGAGGAGAGUGGAACUCCAUGUGUAGCGGUGGAAUGCGUAGAUAUAUGGAAGAACACCAGUGGCGAAGGCGGCUCUCUGGUCUGCAACUGACGCUGAGGCUCGAAAGCAUGGGUAGCGAACAGGAUUAGAUACCCUGGUAGUCCAUGCCGUAAACGAUGAGCGCUAGGUGUUGGGGACUUUCCGGUCCUCAGUGCCGCAGCAAACGCAUUAAGCGCUCCGCCUGGGGAGUACGACCGCAAGGUU